rnacentral:rRNA from 1 species
GCGAAAGUCCGGCAAGAGGGAGCGGUGAUAAGGAGGGUGCAAGGGUGAGUCGUAAUGACUGGGCGUAAAGGGUGGGGAGGCGGGGAUAUAAGUCAGAUGGUAAAAACCAAGGCUCAGUCUUGGAAGUGCAUCUGAAACUGUAUUUCUAGAGGGAUAGCGGAGAAAACGGAAUUCCACGUGUAGCGGUGAAAUGCGUAGAUAUGUGGAAGAACACCUGUGGCGAAAGCGGUUUUCUAGCUUAAACCUGACGCUGAGGCACGAAAGCAAGGGGAGCAAACAGGAUUGGAUACCCCAGUAGUC